GCGGGAGUGGCGAAACUGGUAUACGCAGCAGACUUGGACUCUGCUGGCGGAAACGCCGUGGGGGUUCAAAUCCCCUCUCCCGCA
rnacentral:tRNA from 1 species